rnacentral:rRNA from 1 species
GAUGAACGCUGGCGGCGUGCCUAAUACAUGCAAGUCGAGCGAACAGACGAGGAGCUUGCUCCUCUGACGUUAGCGGCGGACGGGUGAGUAACACGUGGAUAACCUACCUAUAAGACUGGGAUAACUUCGGGAAACCGGAGCUAAUACCGGAUAAUAUAUUGAACCGCAUGGUUCAAUAGUGAAAGACGGUUUUGCUGUCACUUAUAGAUGGAUCCGCGCCGCAUUAGCUAGUUGGUAAGGUAACGGCUUACCAAGGCAACGAUGCGUAGCCGACCUGAGAGGGUGAUCGGCCACACUGGAACUGAGACACGGUCCAGACUCAUACGGGAGGCAGCAGUAGGGAAUCUUCCGCAAUGGGCGAAAGCUUGACGGAGCAACGACGCGUGAGUGAUGAAGGUCUUCGGAUCGUAAAACUCUGUUAUUAGGGAAGAACAAAUGUGUAAGUAACUAUGCACGUCUUGACGGUACCUAAUCAGAAAGCCACGGCUAACUACGUG